UCAGGCCUAACACAUGCAAGUCGAGCGGUAACAUUUCAAAAGCUUGCUUUUGAAGAUGACGAGCGGCGGACGGGUGAGUAAUGCCUGGGAAUUUGCCCAUUUGUGGGGGAUAACAGUUGGAAACGACUGCUAAUACCGCAUACGCCCUACGGGGGAAAGCAGGGGACCUUCGGGCCUUGCGCUGAUGGAUAAGCCCAGGUGGGAUUAGCUAGUAGGUGAGGUAAAGGCUCACCUAGGCGACGAUCCCUAGCUGGUCUGAGAGGAUGAUCAGCCGCACUGGGACUGAGACACGGCCCAGACUCCUACGGGAGGCAGCAGUGGGGAAUAUUGCACAAUGGGGGAAACCCUGAUGCAGCCAUGCCGCGUGUGUGAAGAAGGCCUUCGGGUUGUAAAGCACUUUCAGCGAGGAGGAAAGGGUGUAAGUUAAUACCUUACAUCUGUGACGUUACUCGCAGAAGAAGCACCGGCUAACUCCGUGCCAGCAGCCGCGGUAAUACGGAGGGUGCGAGCGUUAAUCGGAAUUACUGGGCGUAAAGCGUGCGCAGGCGGUUUGUUAAGCGAGAUGUGAAAGCCCCGGGCUCAACCUGGGAACCGCAUUUCGAACUGGCAAACUAGAGUCUUGUAGAGGGGGGUAGAAUUCCAGGUGUAGC
rnacentral:rRNA from 1 species